AUGCAGAAAAAAGGAGAAGAGCUAUAAUGUCCUAUCAUUCAAAUGAGACUACACUCUCUUUAUUCGAAAUUCAAUUUGGUUUUAAAUUUUCCCCAGUAUGUUUUUAUCAGGAGGAUGAUCUCUCCUUGAACAACUGAAAUAGGUAUGCCCUGAGAAGGGGAGAGACAACUCUCUGAUGGUUGUCAGUAAAGCACCAGAAAGAGAAGAGAAGCAAGUAGAAGAGUUUCAGCAUCUGCUGAGAACAUACAAUACAUAAGACAAAGUUGCAUCUUUCUUUAAGGCCAGUACCUUGGGAGGGACAAUGACAUCACUUCCUGAAUCCUCCCAGUUUUCUAUUUCCUGCCCUGCUUCCAUCAACAUCCAGAGCUGGAAACACCUCCAUCCUGCCUCUCCCUGCCAUGGCCUCCCUGCUCCUCUUCUGUGUGGCCUUUUGUCUCCUGGGAACAGGGUCCAUGGAUGCUGGUGUUACCCAGACCCCAAGGAAUAGGAUCGCAAAGACAGGAAAGAAGAUUAUGCUGGAAUGUUCUCAGACUAGGGGCGAUAACCGAAUGUACUGGUAUCGACAAGACCCAGGACAGGGACUACAGUUGAUCUACUACUCCCUUGGUGUUGAAGAUAAAAACGAAGGAGAGAUCUCUGAUGGAUACAGUGUCUCUCGACAGGAACAGCCUAAAUUCUCCCUGUCCCUAGAGUCUGCCAUGCCCAAACACACAGCUCUUUACUUCUGUGCCACCAGUUAUUAGCACAGUGCUUCUUGGCCACCUGCUCUCUACACAGAAAGACAGACACACAGGCCUCAUGGAAGCUGACAUCUACUAGACCCCAAGACACUGUGUUAUAGGGACCGGAAAGAAGAUCACCCUGGAAUGUUCUCAAACCAUGGGCCAUGACAGAACGUACUGGUAUCGACAAGAUCCAGGAAUGGAACUAAAGCUCAUCCAUUAUUCCCAUGGAGUUAAUUUCACAGAAGAGGGAGAUCUUUCCUCUGAGUCAACAGUCUCCAGGAUAAGGAAGGAGAAUUUUCUCCUGACCCUGGAGUCUGCCAGCUCCUCACCUACCUCUCAGUACCUCUGUGCCAGCAGUGAAUACACAGUGCUUAAUGGACACCUACAUUCUGCACAGAAAGGCUCACCUCCACGAUGAGGACAUCUUGCCUUCAGAAACCUCAUCUUAAACUACAGAAACCCCUGCAAAUCUUCCCAGACUCCUCAGCAUUAAGGGACCACCAGUGUGCUUGAAGUAACAGUCUAGACUAAAGGCUAUCUCUGGCUCAGUCUCUACCAAGUUGAGAAAUGAUCCAGCCCCACAAUCAUCAUGGCUGACUUCUUUCUUGCAUCUAGCUUCUGCUGUUCAAUUGAGCUUGCAUGAAUUUUAUCCUUCAUGAUAAAUGUGAUAAUAUCUGACAGUUGCCUUAUGGCUAGCUGAAGAAAGUCUUUGUCAGCUAAGAAACAGGAAAAGCAUCCUCUGACUUUCUGCACAGGCUGUCUUUAUCUACAGGAGUUUUUGUAGUUUAAGAUGAGGUUUCUGAAAACAAGAUGUCCUCAUCUCAGAGGUGACCCUGGUUCAUGGUUCCUUCCUCAUGUUAAACUAGUUCCUUCAUACACAGCCUCACAAGUCCCUGCCCUUUCCUGACCCCAGUCCUGCACUUGACGACUUCAGUUCCUCAAUCUAUGACUUUGAACUUGGAAUAAAUUUUUGUUUUCACUUGGAAUAAGUGAUUAAUGAUGAUUUGCACUAAUCUCCCUCUAAAUAAAUGAAUUUUAGCUAAAUCUAAUGAGGCAGAAGGAAGAGAGAAGGCUCCAACUUUGGCAAAGAAUAGUCUUUAACAAUGUCCCUGGAUUCAGCCCUAAAUCUCUUUGGAGACUACUCUUGCCAUUGGGAGACUAUUCCACAGAUAGAUGAUUCUUCUGUCUUAGGUAUGCUGAAUCUCAGGGAAAUGUUCUCUAUCCGCAUGAGAUCAGACCUGGGACCUUAAAUAGAUUCAUUUUUCACAAAAGCAUAGACUGCUAUGGGGCCCUAGGUCUCCUGAGAAUGGGUGGGUGCUGAGCUCAGAUGUGAAACCUCUGUUUUGUGGUUACCAAAAAGUAAAGUCACAGAGUCUCUGUCUUGGUUUUACCUCCUUAAAAAGUAGCUUUACUAUGUUGGAAAAUAAUCUAGAGAACAUAAUACAUAUUUUACUGUAAAAGUCUGCUUAUUCAUUCUUCUUUUCUAUUUGUAUUCUACGAUACUAGCCAUUCUUCACUCUUCUUUGUGGGCUCUUUCUAUUCUCAUUUUCCUUAUUUUGUCCUUAUUUCUGGACUUUAAUUUUUUGCCUCUUAACCUACACGUACAUCUUAGACAAUAUCAUCAACUCUAUUACUUGAAGUAUAUGUCUCAUUAGUUUCAAGUUAGCUGCCUACUAGAUAUUCCUACCUCUGUAUUUCGUAGGCUACUCAACCCAACUUGUUCCCAACAGAGUUCAUCAUCCUCCCAAUACCAUGUCCUCUUUUGGAGACACCAUUGUCUUGGGAGGCUCAUCUCCAGUAGUCAGAUGUCCUUAGCAAACACCUAAAGGAUUAAAAACCCUUCCUUGCUGAACUCUUAGCCUUAUGCCUUACCCUUCUGGCCUUUCUUCUAAAAGUGGUAUGCAUCAUAGAGUUGGCCCUCUGUAUUCAUGAGUUGCACAUCCCUGGAUUCAACCAGCCACAGAUCAAAAACAUUUUUUUCAAAAAUUAUGUCUAUACUGAACACACACAGACUUUUUCCUUGUCAUUAUUCUAACAAAUACAGUAUGACAACUAUUUACAUAGCAUUUAUUAUAUUUGGUACUAUUAAUUAUUUACAGGUGACUUAAAGUAUAUGCAUAGAUUACAUGCAAAUACUAUAUACCAUUUUUCAGCAGGGACUUGGGCAUUUGUGGAUUUCGUUACCCUUGGAAGGUCCUGGAACCAAUUCCCCAAGAUACUGAGGGAUAACUGUAGACAAAUGUGAUUACACUACUGGAUCCCCUCACAAUUUCUCCAUGUUUCUCCUCCAUAUUCAAGAUAAAAUUUAAAUUCCUUCACCUGGCUUAAUGGUAUUUUGUGAUCUGGACUCCGGAAAUUAGCUUACCUUGAACACCUUAACCUGGCUGUUUUUCAUCCUGGGAGUACUGAACUUCUGACCAUUUUCUAUAGACCAUGUUCUCUUACCCAUCUGAGACCCUGUACCUGCUGUCACUGUAUUUACGAAGUCUGCACUUCUUGUCUACAGGGCGGACUUCUACUCCAGCCUCUCAUUAAUGACUAUGCUAACACAAAAAGUCUUAAUCUGCUUCAGAUUGUUCCUGUCCUCCAAAUAGUGUUGUGGGAGGCUCUCUUCAUCACCAUCCUCCUUAUUUUCCAGUAUGUAUGUCUUCUUGGUGCAUGGUUUUCCUGGAGCAUUUUAUUUAAGAAUGGUCACAGGGUAUAAAUCAGACAGAAACAAAACAAAGCAAAGUCUUCGAGAGGAGAUGAAUGUCACCCCUGCUGAGUAUUUUUGAAUGCGAUGCUGGAAGCUGAUCCAGUGAAAUCCUUCCUAUUCUCUGAUGAAAGGAAGAUCUAGCUUUGACACUGGAACAGAUAAUGAUGAAUGCUUCCCAGAAAGAUGCCAGGUGAAUUGCGGGGUUCAGUGUAAAUAAAUAAGUGACAUGUUUAUGUUAAUAGAUAUUACUUAUAUAUGAGCAAACCUGGUCUUGCUUUAUUUUAAAAAAAAAAAAGCAGCUAUUGCUCAGUUUAAUAGAUUUAAGUAUACUUUACAUGCCAUGAAAUUCACCCUCUGUAAGGUACAGUUUAAUGAUUUAUAGUAAAUAUAUUGAGUUUUACAGGCAUCUCAAAAUCAUUUUAAAACAUUCCCAUUGCCCUCAAGAGAUCCCUUCUGCCCUUUAGUUAUUUCCUAAGGUGCCCCACCUCAGGCAGCCCCCUAUCUAUUCUUUGCCUCCAUAGAUUUGAUUUUUCUGAAAAACUUUAUAAAAACAGUGUAUUAAAAUAUGCAGUCUUUGUUUCUGACUUCUUUAAGUUCACCUAACAUUUGGGGUGUUCAUUCAUGUUAUAGUAUAUUUAAGUUAUUUGCUACAUUUUUGUUGCAGAAAAUUAUCCCAUUGUAUGGAUAUAGCAUAUUUUAUGUAUCCAUUCAGCAAUUUUUGGACAUUUGAAUUGCUCCAGUUGUUAACCUAUUAUAAAUAAUGCCACUAUAAAUGUUCUUAUUUAAAUAUUUGGGAAGUUAUAAACUUUUAUUUUAUUUGGUAGGUGUCUAGAAGUGAAAUUACUGAGUCAUGGGAUAAGGGUAUAAAUAAAUUAAAAACAGAAACAAGAAAACUUGCAAAAUGUUUUUAGAACUGGCUAUUUCCUUUUACAUUUCUAUCAUGUAAUGUGUGAGGGUUCCAGUUUUUUCACAUGCUCUCCAACAUUUGGUCUUUUUUAAUAAUCAUCAUUCUGGCAAAUGUGUGGUGUCACCUCACUGUGGUUUUUAAUUUUUGUUUCCCUAAUAACUAGUGAUAUUGAGCAUCUUUUUGUUUGCUUAUUAAUCAUUCCUGUAUGACCUCUGAUGACAUACUUAUUAAAAUUCUUUACUCAUUUUAA